GAGUUUGAUCCUGGCUCAGGAUGAACGCUGGCGGCGUGCUUAACACAUGCAAGUCGAACGAAGCGCGCGGAAGGAAGGCCUUCGGGCCGGAGAGCCGCGGGACUGAGUGGCGGACGGGUGAGUAACGCGUGGGCAACCUGCCCCGUACAGGGGGAUAACAGCCGGAAACGGCUGCUAAUACCGCAUAAGCGCACAGCGCCGCAUGGCGCGGUGUGAAAAGCUCCGGCGGUACGGGAGGGGCCCGCGUCUGAUUAGGCAGUUGGCGGGGCAGCGGCCCACCAAACCGACGAUCAGUAGCCGGCCUGAGAGGGCGGCCGGCCACAUUGGGACUGAGACACGGCCCAAACUCCUGCGGGAGGCAGCAGUGGGGAAUAUUGCACAAUGGGGGAAACCCUGAUGCAGCGACGCCGCGUGAGCGAAGAAGUAUUUCGGUAUGUAAAGCUCUAUCAGCAGGGAAGAAAAAAAUGACGGUACCUGAGUAAGAAGCACCGGCUAAAUACGUGCCAGCAGCCGCGGUAAUACGUAUGGUGCAAGCGUUAUCCGGAUUUACUGGGUGUAAAGGGAGCGUAGGCGGCGCGUUAAGUCUGAUGUGAAAACCCGAGGCUCAACCACGGGAGUGCAUUGGAAACUGGCGGGCUGGAGUGCCGGAGAGGUAAGCGGAAUUCCUAGUGUAGCGGUGAAAUGCGUAGAUAUUAGGAGGAACACCAGUGGCGAAGGCGGCUUACUGGACGGCA
rnacentral:rRNA from 1 species